AAGGAAUGGCACCACAACCUCAAAGCAAAUAUCUGAUGUUGCAGUGAGUGGGGUUGGCACCAGUGUUGACAGAAUCAGACCAUGUGAUCAAUCAGAGCACAGCGGUGAAAAUGAGGACCGACGGCUACCCAUCAGUUCCUGUGCCAUCUCUACCUUUGCUCCCCUCCUCUGUUCCUCCUCCAUGGGCUGUGCACCUCAUCAGUAUACCAGAUCAGACAGAGGCUAUGGAAAGGUCAUAGCUCACAGGUGGGUCCCUAGCAGCCUCUCCCGCUGUCCUCCAUAGAAUCAGGCUCUGCAUCCAGGUUAUGGGGGCUACAGAGCAGCCUUGCUUCCCAGUAGGCUCCCCGAAGCCACAAGCCCAUGUCUGGUCUCCCAGCAUGCGGGAUCCAUAAUGUCAGACAUCUCCAUAUCUCCAGUAAUCACCAGAUCAACUUGGGACCAUGUGCUAGGCUGUGAUUAGCGACAGUAACUUACCAGUCCUGUUCAGACUUCGCACAGGAGAACAAUGAGAGUUGACGUCUCCAUCUGCUGACAUGAAUUACUGCCGUCGCCUUCCUUCACUCCCCUCACUGAGAGAGAUUCACAAGGAAGGGAAGAAGAGCUUACUCACUUGCACCCUAAGUCAGAAAGCAGGGGGCUCAAGCUGUGCCUCUUCACUGUCCCAUCUCAGUUGAUCUUUGGGUGAGCAUAUGGCCUGAGAGUCGAGAAAGUGCAGCAUCUCGGCAGGCUGGAUUAGGGAUGGAGUAACAGGCUGCAAGGGAGUGGUGAUGGGCACUUUGGCUGGAGCUUGCCAUAAUCUACCCAGCAAGGCAGAGCACAGAUGCCGGGCCAGGCAGGGAGGCUCACUCCUCGUUAAGGGUCCAUUACAGAAAAGUCCUCGUUAAAGAAACACCACUGCGAGAAGAGACCAUCCAAUAGAUGAGCAAAAACGGAGAGGGGAACAUUUGAUUACAUAAUUAAUUAAUUGCCCCACAAUUUUCAGUGUGAUCAUGUCUCCAUUUCCUUCAUUAAAGAUACAGCAACCAGGGUGGGAGGACCAGCUUAAAUCCGAGCUCAAAACCAGUUUUUUUAUUCUGUUGCAAACUCUUUCACAUCCAUAGUCUCUUUCCACCUUUUGUUUAACUAAAUUUUGCCUACCUUUUCCAUCCAUGCUUCCUGACAGGCUUAUUUGAGAAAAUGCUUUUGGUUAGCAAAGCAAGGAGAUGUGGUGAGGUAAGGCAGGGAGAUGGGCCUGAGGAAUUCUGCUCAAUUGAGCACUGGGGAGGAUGUUAACAUGGGGCCCUGGCACCUCAGCCAAAAUGAGUUAGCCUUACUUGAUGUUUCAGUGUUGAUUAAGAGACAGGGAUGGGAAUAGGUUUCUGCUCUGUUUAGUAAGAGAACAGCAUGUGCAGGUUUAGACAAGGCAAAGUGAUGACGGUGUUGACUAGCGUCACUCUGUACACUGCAAAAAAUGUAUUCCCUAACAAGUGAUUCAUCAC